UCACCACGUACUGAAAGAGGUAAUCGAAUAUCACGACGGAUCAAACCAGUUCAACGCUCUUUCCAGCCUGCAGGAAGCUUCCAGAUGCAUGGUCACAUCUUCAACCAUUGAAUCAGGUUGAGGAGUCUCGUCGUCGGCGCAGGUCGAAGCGAGACUUGAUGCGUCGCCAGAGCUCAGGGGUGAGAGACCGAUUCAUUAUUCUGGAAGUGGCAAAGGGAGCAGCUGAUGGGAUUGUGACUUGUUAGGCCGGCCAGCCUCCUCUCUUCGCAAGGUCGUCCAGUGUGGCGACUGGCCGGCGAUCUGCUGUGGCACGACAUUGGCACUGACACCUGUUGAGCUACCAAUCGGCCAAGAGGUCUAAGCAGAUGAACCAACCAAGGGGGACAGGGUCACGCCUCUCCCAAUACAUCACCCCCCUUGGCCACAAUAAAUGCUAAGACACCAUCUUUCCAGUGCAUUGUCUAUUACUGUUGUAUCUAAAUUAAGUGCAUUGUCUAUUACUGUUGUAUCUAAAUUAGCAGUUACUUCUUUUA